rnacentral:rRNA from 1 species
GAUAAACGCUAGCGGCAGGCUUAACACAUGCAAGUCGAGGGGCAGCAUAGAUGUAGCAAUACAAUUGGUGGCGACCGGCGCACGGGUGCGUAACGCGUAUGCAACCUACCCGUCACAGGGGGAUAAUCCGGAGAAAUCUGGUCUAAUACCCCAUAACAUAUGGAUCGGCAUCGGUUCAUGUUGAAAUUUUCGGAGGUGACGGAUGGGCAUGCGUAGCAUUAGCUUGUUGGUGAGGUAGCGGCUCACCAAGGCGACGAUGCUUAGGGGGACUGAGAGGUUUUCCCCCCACACUGGUACUGAGACACGGACCAGACUCCUACGGGAGGCAGCAGUGGGGAAUAUUGGUCAAUGGGCGCAAGCCUGAACCAGCCAUGCCGCGUGCAGGAUGACGGCUCUAUGAGUUGUAAACUGCUUUUGUACGAGGGUAAAGUGGGUUACGUGUAGCCUUUUGAAAGUAUCGUACGAAUAAGGAUCGGCUAACUCCGUGCCAGCCGCCGCCGUAA